GGAAGGUUGGCAGAGUGGUCGAAUGCACCGGUCUUGUUAACUCGAGCGCCAAUUUGGAAACGAGUUGGAUGUAAGGAGUCAAAUUCGGCGAAGCCCCUGUUUUAUACGAGGUAACGCCGAGCGAAGCCUGAUUCAAUCAGGAACGUGUAGAGACUUGACGGCUCCCACCUAAAGCUGAAAGCUAUGGUGAAGACAAAGUCCAGACUAUCAAACAGGCAGCUUGUGCCUGGUAGUGAAAACUAUAGUAGUAAGGAAAACCGGCAGGGGCGCAAGUUCCUCCAGGGUUCGAAUCCCUGACCUUCCGCCA
rnacentral:tRNA from 1 species